GGAUUAGAUACCCUGGUAGUCCACGCCGUAAACGAUGUCUACUAGUCGUUGGGUCCCUUGAGGACCUUAGUGACGCAGCUAACGCAAUAAGUAGACCGCCUGGGGAGUACGGGCCGCAAGGUUAAAACUCAAAUGAAUUGACGGGGGCCCGCACAAGCGGUGGAGCAUGUGGUUUAAUUCGAUGCAACGCGAAGAACCUUACCAGGGCUUGACACGCACCUGCGGGUCCGGGAAACCGGAUCGCCUUCGAGGGUGGUGCACAGGUGCUGCAUGGCUGUCGUCAGCUCGUGUCGUGAGAUGUUGGG
rnacentral:rRNA from 1 species